rnacentral:rRNA from 1 species
UACGGAGGGUGCAAGCGUUAUCCGGAUUCACUGGGCGUAAAGGGCGCGUAGGCGGGAUGACAAGUCGGUCGUGAAAUCCCUGGGCUCAACUCAGGGGGGUCGGCCGAUACUGCCAUUCUUGAGGGAUGCAGAGGAGACUGGAAUUCCCGGUGUAGCGGUGAAAUGUGUAGAGAUCGGGAGGAACACCGGUGGCGAAGGCGGGUCUCUGGGCAUUCCCUGACGCUGAGGCGCGAAAGCGUGGGGAGCAAACGGG